rnacentral:ncRNA from 1 species
UUUAAAGAGUGCGUAAUAGCUCACUGAUCGAGCGCCCUUGCGCUGAAGAUGAACGGGGCUAAGCGAUCUGCCGAAGCUGUGGGAUGUCAAAAUGCAUCGGUAGGGGAGCGUUCCGCCUUAGAGGGAAGCAACCGCGAAAGCGGGGCUCGACGAAGCGGAAGCGAGAAUGUCGGCUUGAGUAACGAAAACAUUGGUGAGAAUCCAAUGCCCCGAAAACCCAAGGUUUCCUCCGCAAGGUUCGUCCACGGAGGG